AGUGGGAUAACUGGGUCAAAUGGUGAUUCUACUCCAAGUUUUCCAAGGAAUCUCCAUAUUGCUUUCCAUAUUAGUUGCACCAAUUGCAGUCCCACCAGCAAU
rnacentral:pre_miRNA from 1 species